GGGACGUAGCGGACGAGCCAUCAGUCGGCGGAGGAGCAUAUCAAUAAGCGGAGGAGCAUAUCAAUAGGCGGAGGAGCAUAUCAAUAAGCGGAGGAGCCCAGCAAUGGUUGGAGGACCAUAGCCAUCAUGUCAGGAACCUACCUCUGUAGUGGUUGUCUGCCAUGGGCUGUCUUGGCAGGCACCUACCCUAUGGUGGUUGUCUGCUAAGAGUUAUCCUAGCAGGCACCUACCCUGUAGUAGUUGUCUACCCUGGAGCUACCCUGUAGCCGCGUGAAGGCCCGCCGAAGGACCGUUAAACUCUUGCUUCUACAACUGUAUCUCUGAACACGUAACUGAAAUAAGUUAAAACUUUCAACAACGGAUCUCUUGGUUCUGGCAUCGAUGAAGAACGCAGCGAAAUGCGAUAAGUAAUGUGAAUUGCAGAAUUCAGUGAAUCAUCGAAUCUUUGAACGCACAUUGCGCCCAUUAGUAUUCUAGUGGGCAUGCCUAUUCGAGCGUCAUUUCAACCCUUAAGCCCUGUUGCUUAGUGUUGGGAGUCUACGGCUUCGGCGUAGUUCCUGAAAAUCAGUGGCGGAGUUAGGGUACACUCUCAGCGUAGUAAUAUCUCUCGCUCGUGUGGUGGCCCUGGCUGCUGGCCGUAAAACCCCCUAUUUUCUAGUGGUUGACCUCGGAUUAGGUAGGAAUACCCGCUGAACUUAAGCAUAUCAAUAAGCCGGAGGA
rnacentral:rRNA from 1 species